UACAGAGGUCCCGAGCGUUGUUCGGAUUCACUGGGCGUAAAGGGUGCGUAGGUGGUCGUGUAAGUCUGACGUGAAAUCUCCGAGCUUAACUCGGAAAUGGCGUUGGAUACUAUUCGGCUGGAGGGUUGGAAGGGGGACUGGAAUUCUCGGUGUAGCAGUGAAAUGCGUAGAUAUCGAGAGGAACCCCAGAGGCGAAGGCGGCGUCCUGGCUCGCAUCUGACGCUCAGACACGACAGCAUGGGGAGCGAACGGG
rnacentral:rRNA from 1 species